rnacentral:lncRNA from 1 species
AGGAUUUGGAAUAAAAGGGAUGACAACAGAUGUUGCUAUAGCCAUACGUACAACUGCCAAUUCUUCCCUUGGUUUGGACAAGGCUAAAGCACAAUUAGCUAAAAAAAAAAGCUUUGGUAAUGGAAGGUGAAAACGAAGAAGAAGAUAAUACCUCUUUGGUAUCUAGACCAAAAGCUAGGAGACGUGUUGUUUUGGAUGAAGAAAUUGAAGAUUCUCCUGUUUGUACCUCUGCUGCAAUCACUUCUUCUACAGUUACUUCCAUUACCGAGCCUGUUUUAAUCCAAUCCGAUGAGGAGACCGUGCCAAAAGCCACGAGUGAACCAACUCAACCUCUCUUGGAUAGUGGUUUUUGGAGUGGCGACCUCGGACAUGUUAUUGAUGAAGCUCCUCUUUCUUCAUUCGUUCCUUCUCCUUCCACUCCUUUGCCAAUAUCCACGAGUGAACCAACCGCAACCUCCCUUGGAUAAUGGUUUUUGGAGUGGCGAGCUCAG